AAAAUAUUUUGUGCCCCACCAAAACAGCAGCACACUCCAUCUUCCCCAAAUCCAUCUCCAAUCUCUCUUUCAGUCUCUCUUGCUCAUUCUCUUCUCCUCACCAAAUCAACAACUGCAACCCAGCAAAUCAUCAUCCCUGCACCCCUCCAAAAUCAACAGAGUUGUCGUAGCUACCUCCCAAGAACAGCAGUUUUCUUGGAGCGAUCUGCGCUCGAAAUAGCCUCCGGCGGCGGCGGCAGUGCGUCCAGCAAAUCAGCGGACCCUCCUGGAAAUCGACGCCACCACCUGCAAAUCACUGGUUGAAUCUAUGUGCAAAAAGUUUCAGCUUUGCUUCUUGGUGUGUGGUCUACAGAUCUAAGGUUAGGCAAAGGCAAGAGUUUAUUCGUUUGAGUUUGCUGAAGGUGACAAAUAUUCAGGAUCUGUAGAGCUAUUCCUUGCUGCUGAAAUCAAGCCAUAGAAUAAAAGCAUGUCAGUAGAAGAUCGGAGUUGGAUGUAUGGUGGGUGGCAUGACAGUGGAUGACACUCUGAUGACUGGGUGCACAACACAAAUAUAUUUUUAGAUCGUGCUUUUGAAGGUGUCCAAAAUGCUGAUAAAUUUGGGGUUGUUUGUCCUUGUUCAAGUUGUAGAAAUAGUGUUAGGCGGAAAAAAACUGAAAUAAGCUUUCAUCUAUGCAAGUGGGGAUAUACAUAUGAGAGGUUCAUAAAAAAACUUAAGCAAAAAGUUGGUAACAGGGCAGUGUUGAAGGAUCAAUUGUAGAAGCUUAUCUUGUAGAGGAGAUUUCACACUUCACUUCUUUAUUUUUGCCAAAUCUCAUAGCUAUUCUGGAAAUGGUGGAAGAAGAAAAUGGCUCUGAUUCUGACACAGAAAUGAUUACUGAAAUAAAUAUUAUACCAUUUCGUGAAGAUGUGGAUGAUUUCUAAGUCUAUAUAGUGCAGCUCCUUAUACAAUCUGUUGCAAACAUGUUUGCUGCUUUCCUCUCAACAUGAUGGCAAUUGGUCGUGGAGGUCCUGCUCGUGAUGAGACUAGUGUUGGCAUUCCUAUUAGAGAGAGUACAAAUGAUGAUUCAGAUGAUGGGGAUAAUGCCAUAGAAACUAUGGAGUUUCGCAUUCGAGGUCUUUCGUCACUUCCACCUCCUAUUCCCAAUGAGGCUGAUCGCCCAUUGAUCCGACCAAAAGGGCAAACGGGAGUUACUUAAAGUUAUUCAGCAAACAAUUCAUAAUUCUAUUAUUAACAGGAAUAUUUUUUUCUUAUGUAGGCAAUGGACUGAGAUCCCAAAACAUGGAAAGGACAGGACACCAGCUAGUGUCUUGACUAGUAUUCUAAGAGAUCACCAUCCUGGUAUUGUUCUAUUUAAUGGUAAGAGUGUGGUUGCAAUGAAAUGGGAGCAUUACCAAGCAAAAAUGGAUUCAAAUGGGCAUUCUAAGGCUGCUGAAGUUGAACAUCAAUUUUGGCUAAGGUUUAGGUUUGAACCUGAUUAUGAACGCGAUGCAAGAGGACAGAUUGCUAGAUGUGCCAAGAAUCUCUUCUACAGUAUAAAAUAUUAUGCACGAAUUCAAGCCACACAAGAUCAUUUUCUAAAAGUGGAAAAAAGAAAAGUGCGUGACAAGGUUGCUGGAAAGAUCUAUUUAACUAAGGAGAAGUAUAUAGCCCAAAAACCAAUAUGGUGCUCCAUGGAUGCUUGGAAUGCACUUGCCGAUGAAUGGUGUAAUCCAAAAUUUAGGGAAAAAUCUGAAAAGAAUCGUGCCAAUCGUGGGAGCUCAAAAUUCAAGCCUCACAAAGGUGGAUCCAAUUGCAACAAUAUGCCAAAAACUGUCCGAAGAAUGAGGACAGGAAGUAACAGAUGUUGAGGCUUGGGUUCAUACUCACAAAGGAGAAAACCCCAAUAAUCCUGACAUGCUUAAUACUGAAGAGGCAACUGAAUCUUGGGCGAGGUACAAGACUAGUUUUUUUGAAAGAAAUGGAGAUGGAAGUGAUCCUAUGUGCUCUCCAGUGGACUCUUUAGCUCUCUAUGAUAGCAAUUCUGGGAGGCCCCAUGGUAAAUGGCCUUUAUUCAAUGGGAUUAUUAACAACAAAGAGGCAAUCGCUGAGCUGAAAAGUGGCUGUUUAUUGGCUCUCAAACGUCAACGUCGUGAAGCAGCAAAUCUUCAAAGAAGUUGAGAAUCUAAGAAGUUCCAACUACAAAAUGCUUAUACACAAAAAAUGGUAGAGUGGAGUUCAAAGGCAUACAAGUGUUGUUCUUUGGGACAUAAGCUUCUUGAGACAAUGGCUAUAGAGACCAAGGAUAUUCUUCUUCUGACAUUCCUCCUACCCUAUCCCCACCUCCUGAACCUCCAACUAAUCCAACCUUGAUGACAUCAGAGGUUUACAGGGUGACACUAGAGGUUUAGAUGUUGGAGAGGAAAAUGAUAACAGGUUCAAUGUGGUGGCUGAUGGAAUGUUUGGUGGCUUCUUGACCUGUUCAUCUCAUAGUGGUGCCAGCAACUUACUCCCACCACUAGAUGAACUUCAGCCAUUCUGAUUUGAUCUAGUUGUGUUGACAUAUCUAACUUUUGGGCAAACUUGAUAGUUAUAGCAUAUCUGUUGUUUGGGUGGGUAAAGUUAGUUGACUCAUAGCAAGCUCAACAGUGUAAGUGUGUAAUGAAGCAGAAUUGUGCCAUUUUGUGACAACAUGAUCUGAUUAAAGUAUAUCUUUUGAGCACUUUGGUGCUAAUGGACUUACUAUAUUUUGUUCUUGGUGUUUAAUGUAAGGAAAAAGUACGGAUUACCCCCCUGAAGUAUGGAGGUCGUCCGUUUAACCCCCCCAAAGUCGAAAACCAGACAUAAUGCACCCUCAACUAUCAAAACCGGUUAACUAACCACCUAAGGCAGUGUCAAGGGCUGGUUUGACCGGGUGUUGCACAUGUGGCAGUACAGCGUGGCAAGAGGGGGCCCCGCCAGCUUAACAGGGUAUCGCGUGCAUGCUCUCUCCCUCGCUCUCGCACAAAAAAAAAAUCCCCUUUCUCCUCAAAACCCUAGAACGGUGACUCCAGCAAGUACGGCGAGUUCGGCUAGGGUGGUUGCAGUUGGACUGGGCGGCCGGCGAGGCCGGCGCGCUCCAAGGCAGCGAGGGCAGCGUGUGCAACCUCACCAACGGUGACGAGGCUGGCAAGUUCUACAGCAACCAUUGUGACGCAUUGCAAGGCAGCUGGGAUGAACUAGGGUUGAAGAGACUGGGCAUUCGAGGUACGUGAUGUAGUUCGAUUUGAAGUCUGGAAUUCGAGGUAGCGUUGAUCCCCUUGUUAAUUUGAUUUUGUUGAUUUCAUACUAAGUUCGAACUGCGGUGGUUGGUCUGUAACGGUUAGGCACAUAUGCAUUGGGAUUGAUUUUGUAGUCUUCACAUAUUUUUUAGGACAAUUUAACCAUGAGUGCAAUGGAUCCUCUCGAGUAUUUGCCUGUUAGAUUUCACUUUGGUGGGGAAUUCAUUAAAAAUGGGAGAGAAACUUUAUAUGCUGGUGGAUCUGAGGGCAUGUCUUACAUUGAACGGGAUAAAAUUUCGUUGCCUGAGUUAAUUGGGUAUCUAAAAGAUCACUGUGAAGUGUUCCCUGGUAUGCUUUUGCACUGGCUUUUUCCUAGCAAAGAACUGGCAGAUGGGCUAAGGGUGUUGGUCGAUGACAAAGUAUGUGAUUACAUGUCAAGGUGUGUUGUGGAAGGAGGAGUCGCUGAAAUAUAUGUAGAGGCAGUAGUGGGAGGGGAGUCCAAUGAGUAUGGUAGCAGUGAUGACAGUGACUUUGAAGAUGAAUUGGAGGAAAUGUCAACUGCCGAUGAUGAAUGGGAAAAUUUAAAAGAUGAUGAUGUGUUUGAAUUACGUACUAGGAAGCCUAUUCUUGUUAUUCAAUCCACACCAGAGAAGACAAAAGGUGAUUUAGAUAGAUUGAGAGCUUGGAGGUCCCCAAGCCCAAAGGAUAAGGGGAAAGGUGUGGUAGUAUGUAAAGAGAGGGUGAAGAGUGCUGAAUUGUGUGGGUCUGACAGUGAUUACAUUGGUGGGGACUCUUGUUCAUCAGGAGAAGAUAAAGAAGUUGAGGAAAUUAUGAGGGCAUACAAGGAGUUUAAGAAGAAGUUAAAUGAUGGUGAGGUAGGAAAUUUGGAUGAUGUGAUCUAUAUGGGCUCUUCGAGACAGUUUAAUGAUAGAGCAUUGGUUCAGAUGGAGGGUGAGGAAAAUAAUAGCCCAUAUGAAAAUAGUAGUGCAGAUGGUGAUUCAUAUGAGGAGGAUUCAGAUGGAUAGUUGGUCAGAAAGGAGUCUAAAUACCCCAGGUUUAAUGCCAACCAGACCCAUGUUAGGCUUGCUCUUGGGAUGAAAUUUGAUGGGAAAAAAGAGUUUAAGGAGGCAGUGGUACAACUAGCCUUGGAAAAUAAAAGAUUCAUAAGGUUCCCCAAAGAUGAAGGGUAUAGGGUAAGGGGUAAGUGUGACUGGGCCACCUGUCCAUGGAGUUGUUUGCUAUCAAAGAACAGCAGAACAAAUAGUUGGCAAAUAGCAAGUCUUGUUGAUGAGCACACUUGUCCUCCAAGGAAAGAUAACCACCUGGUCACAUACAAGAGAAUAGCUGAGAAAUAUGAGAAGAUGAUUACAGAUAACCCAACUUGGAGUAUUUAGAGCAUGCAGUCAACUGUCUCUGAGCAAAUGUUUGCAAAUGUUAGUGCAUCUCAGUGCAAGAGAGCAAAGGCAUAUGCCCUGAAGAAGAUUUAUGAGUCAAAAAGGGAUGAAUACUCUAGAAUCUUUGACUAUCAAUUGGAGUUGUUGAGAAGUAAUCCUGGGAGUACAGUUGUUGUCAAGCUUGAUACUGACCAACCAAACCCAGUCUAGCUGCUUGCAAAAAUGGGUUCCUAAUGGGAUGUAGAAAGGUUGUAGGUUUGGAUGGCUGUUUUUUCAAAGGUUCAAGUAACGGGGAGCUAUUAUGUGCUGUUGGUAGAGAUGCCAACAACUCCAUGUGACCAAUAGCAUGGGCUGUGGUGGAGAAGGAAACAAAUGACUCAUGGGAUUGGUUCUGUGAUUUGCUCUGCAAAGACUUGGCAGUUGGUGAUGGUGAUGACUGGGUGUUUAUCUCAGACCAGCAGAAGGGUAUUGUAAAUGCAGUUCAGAACCGGGCUCCAAGUGCUGAGCACAGAAAUUGUGCAAGGCAUAUUUAUGCCAACUGGAAGAAGAAAUUCAGCAAGAAGCAAUGGCAGAAGAAGUUCUGGAGGUGUGCCAAAGCUCCAAAUGUCAUGCUCUUCAACCUAGCUAAGGCAAAACUGGCACAAGAGACAGUUGAAGGUGCAAGGGCCAUCAUGAACACAGAUCCAAGGCACUGGAGCAGGGCCUGGUUCAGGUUUGGAUCAAACUGUGAUUCUGUAGACAAUAAUAUUUGUGAGACAUUCAACAAAUGGAUAGUUCAGGCUAGGUUCCUACCCAUUAUUAGCAUGUUGGAAGCUAUUAGAAGGAAGGUGAUGGUUAGGAUACAUGAGAAAAAAUCGUUGAUGGAGAAGUGGGUAGGAUCAAUUUGUACAAACAUACAUAAGAAACUGAAUGCAUACAUCGUCGAUUCAGGAAACUGUCAUGCAAUCUGCAAUGGGAUGGACAAGUUUGAGGUUACUCAUCUCACUCAUAGGUUCAUAGUUGAUCUUGAGAGAAAAACUUGUUCAUGCAGAUAUUGGGAGUUGGGUGGGCUUCCAUGUUGCCAUGCAAUAGCCUGCAUACACUUUAGAACCAGCUGCAUAGACAGUUAUAUUGCACCUUGCUACUCCAUAUAUUCUUUCAAAAAGACCUACAGCUUUGCUUUGGAACUAGUUCAGGGAAUGGAAAGCUAGCCUACAUCUGAUAGGCCAAGGCCACAUACUCGAGGUUAUGUUAGAAUGCCAGGAAGGCCGUUCAAGAAAGAAAGGAGAAGAGAGCCACAUGAAAAGGCCAAAGCUACAAGGGUGUCAAGGGUUGGGUCAGUGAUGACUUGCAGGUUGUGCAAACUGCCUGAGCACAACAAGGCUUCAUGCCACAAGAGGUCAAAACAGCAGCAAGACAAUGUGCAGGCUCAAGGAUCUCAACCAAUCUCUUCACAGGCCCAGGCUCAAGGAUCUCUGCCAAUCUUAGAAAAGGCUUCAUCAUCUGGAAAGAGAAAGGCUUCUUCAUCUACAAGGGCAGCUGGAAUGGUUGGGGUCAAGCAACCAAGACAGAAGUUGGAAGUUAGGAGAUCUCCUCGGCUUAAAAGAGGAUGAAUAUGACAAAUUGUUCGUAAUACUUUUGGACAUGCUUAGUGGAAUAGAAAUAGGCAGAAGAUCACCACCUUUUGUAGAGAAACAUGUGGUAUGAAACUUUUGUGUGACUCUAAAGUUAGAACUACUUGUUAGAAACAAUAUGUGUCAUUUACUGCCACCACUAGAUGAUGUAAUCAAAGAUAAUGGGAUCAACAUGUGGCAAUAUAUGUGAUCAAGCUUUUGUUCUCUCCAAUAAUUACAA